UGGGGAAUAUUGCACAAUGGGCGCAAGCCUGAUGCAGCCAUGCCGCGUGUGUGAAGAAGGCCUUCGGGUUGUAAAGCACUUUCAGCGAGGAGGAAGGUGGUGAGCUUAAUACGCUCAUCAAUUGACGUUACUCGCAGAAGAAGCACCGGCUAACUCCGUGCCAGCAGCCGCGGUAAUACGGAGGGUGCAAGCGUUAAUCGGAAUUACUGGGCGUAAAGCGCACGCAGGCGGUUUGUUAAGUCAGAUGUGAAAUCCCCCGGGCUCAACCUGGGAACUGCAUUUGAAACUGGCAAGCUAGAGUCUCGUAGAGGGGGGUAGAAUUCCAGGUGUAGCGGUGAAAUGCGUAGAGAUCUGGAGGAAUACCGGUGGCGAAAGGCGGCCCCCCUGGACGAAGACUGACGCUCAGGUGCGAAAAGCGUGGGGGCAGCAAAACAGGAUUAGAUACCCUGGUAGUCCACGCUGUAAAACGAUGUCGAUUUUGGAGGUUGUGCCCCUUGAGGCGUGGNUUCCGGAGCUAACGCGUUAAAUCGACCG
rnacentral:rRNA from 1 species